ensembl:lncRNA
UUAAGUUAAUCUUUAGCCCAGAGGGCAGGUAAUACAAGCAGUCUACCACCCUUUUCCCCCAGAGGGCGCCCAAGGGCCGCAUUGGCACGGUCCCACUCAACGCCAACGGGAGACACCUGUGUACCAGGCCAAUUAGACGAGGGCUAUAUAAGAGAAGCUGAGACGUAGUCUAGAGGCAGGAGGUAUGUGACCCAUGUAGGAGCCGAGAGCGGACCGAGAUUCCCUACCCGGACGGACCUUUGCCCUUUGCCCCUGGACCCGGUCUAGAGAAGACCACAGGACGACACGGAAGGACCUCCUCAUCUGGAUACCGGGACAGGGAACCGGACAGUAUGCCCUCCACUGUUUGGCCGUGUAGCGUCUCCCAAACGUUAAAGGCUUUUUGAAGUAAAGAGGAGCAUCUAAUCUGAACCUGAUGUCUAUCAUGGAUAUUUAACUGCAGUUCUGUGAGUAUCCCAACUCAACCAUGAAGAUGAACUGCAAACUGUAAGUCAUUAAUUUCUCAUUACUCUUGGGCACAUUGUUGUAUUUUGGCUUCCUGGUGAGUUAACCUGUUACCUGAAGGUUGAUCUGAGUAGUAAGGAUGUUUUAUUGGUUCAGGGGUUACUUGAGUGUUUGUUUUUAAUGAUUUGUUAAAAAGGUUACAGGCUCCAAGUUAUUGUUGUAAGCUGGAGUAAUGGGUUGGGUUCUGAUAUCUUCAGUCUUCUUUCAUUCUACUCUCCUGAGCUCUGCAUCUUCAUCACAUGAGUGUUGCUUUACUGAUGAGGCUGUGGUCUGAGUGAGCAGAGGUGCAUACUGGGAUACAGAGCGGUCUGAAGUCUACAGGUCUGUAGACACGCCCCCUCAGGGGUAACCGAGUGUUUGAGAAACUGUCAUGACGUCAGUUACAUGGACUGGAAUGUUCUUAAAGAUGGAGACAGGGAUUCAGAAGGAGAAACACCAGGGGGAGAUGAGGGGGCUCCUCAUCACGACGACUAAAACACAACUUCAGUCUGACAAAGAACCAUGGAACACAUUCAACAGUCCCCUCCAGGCAUCGUGACUCCUCAGGAACAGUUUCAUUUCCAAGAAGGUCUUAUUUGGGGCCAUCCCCAUAUGGAUCCUGCUCCUCAAGAGCCACCCCCGUCCACUGGGUGGUCUUCUGAACAGAUGACCUCCUUCCUGUCCUCAGGCUGACUAAAGCUGCACCGUUUGCAUCUGUGAAGGCCCCUCAUUCAGGAAACCACUGACUACAAAGACAUGACUUCAGAGACGUUGAAUCAACCUGGGACACAUUUUGGAGACGCCAAGCAUAAUCAAUCACCAAUGUGGGACGCCACUGAAGAAUGUUGUACAUAAUUUACGUCUCUGGAGACACUGGUUGUUCUGUUCUGGGUGCCCUGGCUGGAGAGGGGGGGGGGAGGGGGUGGAAUGUUAUUUGGCAUGAGGUUUUUACCCUGCAUGAUUGUUUGGCCUUUUAUGGCUCAGGUGUGUGUGUGUGUGUGUGUGUGUGUGUUUGACAUGAGAUGGAAGAUUUUUGAGCAUAGCUAGGGUUCUACUGUGUGUGUGUGUGUGUCUCACACCUGGCAUGGGGUUCUACGUGCGUCUCACACCUGGCAUGGGGUUCUACGUGCCUGUCCUGGGUUCUGUGUGUCCGGCUUGCUUUGACAGUGAUAAUGUUCAUACAGGGGUCUGUGUGAUUGGCUUGGGAUAUUGGAAUGGUCAACUAAAUCAUACCUGAUGGACGGCCACACGUUUACUUAAGGGCCUCCGGUAGACAUGAAGAGCCCUGAGCGACGCUCCGGAGCGAUAUCCAACACACUAGGCAGGAAGGAGGGUAUCCAACUCAAGUGUAAAAGGAUGCAAGCGGUGUGUUCAGAUCAGUGACUUCAAACUAGGACUAAACCAAUCAGGAUCAAUGGAGGAUGGACACCUAAAGGCAUUCCACACGGAGAUUCUGAAGUUGGAAAGGGACCUAAAUGGAUAUUCAAGAUGACCUGUAAUGAGACGGCUCUUCCUACCUGGCUGGAUUGAUGGAGAGCCCUGUGGAUCUUUUCUUGCUCUCAGUUGCACGUCUUCUCAGGCUGAACUGUAUUUGAUUCGGACCGGACUAGCUGAACGAUUGGUUCCCUUAAAUCAGAACCAAUCCGGGAACUCCAGCUAGUGCGCCUUUUAGCUGAAGCUGAGGAGGUAAGGAAACCUUCACUGGGGCUUCAAGGUGUAAAGAGGAGAAUGUUUCAAAGUGUUCCAUGGUACUCUGAAGACCGUUGUUGUGUUCCACUUGCUGAGAGAAAGAACCCACACAUCUUCCUCUUGGCCUUUCUCCUCUGAGAAUCCUGGCGCCAUCUUGAAGGAUAUUCCAGAUCAUGUAACUGAUGUCACGACAGCUUCUCAAACACUUGGUUUCUCCUGAGGGGCGGGUCUAUAGAACUGAAGACUUCAGACAGCACUGUAUCCCAGCAUGCAUCUCUGCUCACUAAGACCACACCCCCAUGAGUAGGAUGCAACACUCUAGUGAUGGAGAUGUAGAGUUUUAUAAGUAAUGAGGGAGCAGACUAAGGUGAUUAGAACACAAUGGCAUGUCAAGUCUGUAAAUCUUUAAACCAUGAAGAUGGUUGGAUAGUUCAGGAAUUGGGCUUAUUAUUAUGGGCAGUCCUUUCACUGAGAUGCCCACUUCUCACUGGAGCUGUCCAGGUGUUGGCUGGCUGGCAUGAUUUGUUGUUGGUGACGAGGCGGUCAGGGUGACGUUGCAGGGCUAUGGUCGGCUCUCUGUGAGCUCAACGUUUAGAUUUGCUCUGUAUGGUUUGUACCCUGAAUAAUCUAGAUAAUUGUAAAAUGCAGACACGGUUUUGCAUUGAAUGAUUCCAGGAUUUUAGGUUUAAAGUUGUUGUGGGACGUACAUGGUAGUCUGGUUCUUCGUAUGGUUUUGAGUGAUAUAACUUGUACACACUGGGUGCAUAAUAAUGUAAAGGUACACUGAAUAGUAUUAAUGACCAACAGCAACAAACAGAUCUCCUCAAGGUAAGUCUGUUGGCUGUGUUUUAAUGAAGACCAUCGCUGGACUUCAGGAUCUUCCUCCGUUCAGCUCAAGGUGAGGCGCUGGUUCUGUUAAUUUUUUGGUUGGUUCCGGCUGGAAUGUUCGGAUUCCAGUCGGACGGUUUGUGCUUCCCGCCGGGAAGGUUCUGAGUGCGGUUACUUGAUUUAGUCCCAAUGGUUGGCAUAGAACGUUGUAAUCUUGACAACCAUAAGAAACCACCUGGUAGUUAGUUGGACGGGAGUCCCCUGAGGGAAUCUGGCGGAACGUUCUGGAUUUUAUUUGCGUAACCUCGAGCCGUUGCCAACGGAAACUAUUUUUCAGUUGAUUUCCAUUGGGAAUUGUUCCCUUAUCUUAAACAACUUUAAGUUUGAUAUUAAAUGCAUACUCACACGUACGUCGUACAAUAUGUUAAUUUCCGAUAGUUGCGCCGUACUUUUAACCACGAUGACUUGACGGGACUCUCACUGCGUACAAAACAGCGUUCUACUUGCGGGCCCAAUUUUGACAUCAGGGAAGGCUGAAAAUCAUUUCAAGGUGGAAGAUAAUUUGACAUUUCUUCAACGGAACCCAGCACCUGAAUAUGGCUGAGUAUAUUUGAUUUAAUAUCGAUACUGCUUAGUGUUCUUUGUUACUUCAGCUUUUGUACGUUAUAAAUAUCUGCUGUCAUUAAUUGCCACAGUAGUUAAACCCUACCCAAUGGAAUGACGUUAAACAACGACUUCGGUGCAGAGUUACCAACUGGAUAAUAUCAAAGCUAAAAUAAUGGCCGUGAUCCCACACGUUACAGUAGAAGUUACUCUAAAACUGUAAAAGGUUAAAAAGGUAACAUGUAGUUUGUCCCAAGGUGUCUGCCUCCUCACCCAGAGCAAGACCUCCACCUCCUCACCCAGAGCCAGACCUCAAACUCCUGUCAGAAGUCCUCCAGAACAGGUGAGGCUGAGAGGCUGGGGACCGGAGGCUUGUGGUGCCAGGAUGGACCGGAGACUGAGGCUGGAGACCAGGAGCCUGCAGCACCGGACCAGAGGGAGCUGAUGGAGAUGCCGUGCUGAAGGAGCUGAUGGAGGAGCCGUGCUGAAGGCCCUGCCUGGUGGAGGAGCUGGUGGAGGCCCUGCCUGUUGAAGUACCAUAUAUGCCAGACGACUACAUCUGUUUUACCACAUGUUGAAGCAAGACUUCCGCUGUUUGUUCCAGAACAGGACUCUGUCUGAGGAGAGCUGCUGGAGGAGCUGAGACGCUGGAGGACGACUAGGAAUCAAUCAAGGAUUCCUCAACGUGUUUCUGGAGCGGAGGCGAGCUGGUAGGGGAGCCGUGAAUCUGGAGGAUGACCAUCACUCUACAAACAAGGAUUGUAAAUUUAUUAACCUAACAACAAAGUGGAAAUUAAGGGGCUUAAAAAUAAGACAAACUACAUGUUUGUUACCAGACUUUAGGUCCAGACUCGCGCUGUUUGUUCCAGACCAGGACUCUGGCUGAGGAGAGCUGAUGGAGGAGCCAAGACUCUGGAGGACGACAUCACUCCACCAACUAGGAUCCUCACCAGGAAUCUGGAAGACUGAUGGAGAAGCCGUACAUCUGGAAGGCAAAUCCUGAGGACCACCAGGACUCUACCAUCAAGGUUUCCUCACACACCUGAGCUGAACCUCACCUGAUCCUGUUUGGAUGGGGGUAGACGCACCUGAGCUAAACCCGCCCUGAUCCUGACAUCCUGCUGGUCCCGUCUCCUCAGUUCUCCUGAGCCUCGUCCUCCAGAAGACCUGCUGAGCUCAGCAGUCUGAGGCUGAUGGAUCAAUGACCUCCAGUGGGAGUGAUCUUCUUGACCCCACAUGUAACCGUGUGCUUCCACACGCCUGUCACUAACUUCACUACUCUCUACUGCUUCCUCUUUUCUUCCUUCUCUGUGGUUCGAACCUUUACACGGAAGGCGCGUCUUCCUGCCCUCAGAGGGUUUAGCGUUAGGGUUGAGAGUCAGGGACAGAGCUGGUCAGGGAGGACUGCUUUUACACAAACCUCUUCACUUGCUUUCGGGAAUGUGGUGACAUUUUGAAAAGAUUCAUUUGGGAAAAUGUUUUCCUCUGCUUUCCUUUACAAAAUUGUAUUAAACUUCUGUGUUUUUGUUUAUACAUUAAAAUCCCACAUUGACUUCUACAUGUUUGGUGCGGUUCAUUUAAUUGUCCUUUAACUUGGUUAAUGUCAAGCUAAACUCCUGCAAUACAUUUAAUAUACAUGAUUGUUAUUCAGCAAUGUUCACAUAAU